AGUAGUAAAAAUAAAGACCUGCAGCUCUUUAUUUUAGAUUUUGUCUGAAACAAGAGAUUGUUUUAUCUCCGUCCUCUGACUGUCUUAGGAUAAAUUUCCCCGAUUCGGAUUGAAUCGGCCGGCGACAGUGUGCUAAGAUUGUUCUUGAAUGUAGAGCUUGCAAGUAUCUAUUUAGCACUAAAAGGUUUUCGUCAGCUUAAUUUAACUGACAGUACUUACCUGUAACUUGUGUUAGUGUCAGUUAGACAGUGAUAAAUAAAGAACAGUGAUUUGAACUGAUUACCCUUUAAUGCUUUAUAGCAGUUCAGUAACUUUCUGUUUGCACUUGCUUAAUACAGCAGCAGUCUGGAAGAAUCACACCCAUCAGAUUGACAUGUGAUAGCUACACGUUUGCUGACUGGUUUUUCCUCAUGUCUGCAGGUUCCAUCAACCCCCCUCCAUAAGCUGUCCCCCCCCCUCUCCUUGUGGGGGGACAGCACAAUGGAGCCUGCCCCCCCCCCCCACCUACUUCACAGCUGAUCAGCAGCAGUCUGGAAGAAUCACACCCAUCAGAUUGACAUGUGAUAGCUACAUGUUUGCUGACUGGUUUUUCCUCAUGUCUGCAGGUUCCAUCAACCCCCCUCCAUACUCUCCCCGGGGGGGGGGGGCGACAGCACAACGGAGCCUGCCCCACCCCUCACCCCACCCCAAGUGGCAAAUGUGUGGGAUGAGGCAUGAAGGUAUUCCACCGUCACUUUCGUUGUCCUGGGCAGGAUUGUUAGUUGGAGGUUCUAUCAACCCCCCUCCAUACGCUGUCCCCCCCUCUCCUCAUGGGGGGACAGCACAACGGAGCCAGCCCCACCCCACCCCUACUUCACAGCACAACUGAUCAGGCGAGCUGACUUCUCACCUGAUCAGUUGUGCUGUCUUCUGCCCCACCCCCAAACCCAACAAACCCCAGCCCAGCCCAGCCACACAUCUCCAUCACAGCUGAUCAGCAGCAGUCUGGAAGAAUCACACCCAUCAGAUUGACAUGUGAUAGCUACACGUUUGCUGACUGGUUUUUCCUCAUGUCUGCAGGUUCCAUCAACCCCCCUCCAUAAGCUGUCCCCCCCCCCUCUCCUUGUGGGGGACAGCACAAUGGAGCCUGCCCCCCCCCCCCACCUACUUCACAGCUGAUCAGCAGCAGUCUGGAAGAAUCACACCCAUCAGAUUGACAUGUGAUAGCUACAUGUUUGCUGACUGGUUUUUCCUCAUGUCUGCAGGUUCCAUCAACCCCCCUCCAUACUCUCCCCGGGGGGGGGGGGCGACAGCACAACGGAGCCUGCCCCACCCCUCAC